rnacentral:rRNA from 1 species
AACGAACGCUGGCGGCAGGCUUAACACAUGCAAGUCGAGCGCCCCGCAAGGGGAGCGGCAGACGGGUGAGUAACGCGUGGGAAUCUACCCAUCUCUACGGAAUAACGCAUGGAAACGUGUGCUAACACCGUAUACGUCCUUCGGGAGAAAGAUUUAUCGGAGAUGGAUGAGCCCGCGUUGGAUUAGCUAGUUGGUGGGGUAAAGGCCUACCAAGGCGACGAUCCAUAGCUGGUCUGAGAGGAUGAUCAGCCACACUGGGACUGAGACACGGCCCAGACUCCUACGGGAGGCAGCAGUGGGGAAUAUUGGACAAUGGGCGCAAGCCUGAUCCAGCCAUGCCGCGUGAGUGAUGAAGGCCCUAGGGUUGUAAAGCUCUUUCACCGGUGAAAAUAAUGACGGUAACCGGAGAAGAAGCCCCGGCUAACUUCGUGCCAGCCGCCGCAGUAAUAC